UACAGAGGGUGCAAGCGUUGUUCGGAAUUAUUGGGCGUAAAGGGCGCGUAGGCGGUUCGGCAAGCCUCUAGUGAAAUCUCUGGGCUCAACUCAGAGUCUGCUGGGGAAACUGCCGGGCUUGAGUGUGGGGGAGGAGAGUGGAAUUCCUGGUGUAGCGGUGAAAUGCGCAGAUAUCAGGAGGAACACCAAUUGCGAAGGCAGCUCGCUGGGACGUUACUGACGCUGAGACGCGAAAGCGUGGGGAGCAAACAGG
rnacentral:rRNA from 1 species